UACGAAGGGGGCUAGCGUUGUUCGGAAUCACUGGGCUUAAAGGGCGCGUAGGCGGGCCAGCCAGUCUGUGGUGAAAGCCUCCAGCUUAACUGGAGAAGUGCCGUGGAUACUGCUGGCCUCGAGGAGGGUAGGGGCAUCUGGAACGGUCGGUGGAGCGGUGAAAUGCGUUGAUAUCGACCAGAACUCCGGUGGCGAAGGCGAGGUGCUGGGCCCUUUCUGACGCUGAUGCGCGAAAGCCAGGGGAGCAAACGGG
rnacentral:rRNA from 1 species